ensembl:lncRNA
CCAGGAGGCAGCUUGUGAAUACCUUAGUUGCUGACAUGGUGGAGGUGCAUGGACGGAUCCCUUAUCAGGCUGUACGAUUUGUAUGUACAGCCUGAGUAUGCUCAAGGCAUUGUGGCCUUAUUCCCAUAUCUCGAAGACCCAAUGUCAAAGCAUGGAUAUAGGAGAACUUUUAUGAUCCAGCAUCAGGAUCUGGGUACAUCGCAUGGCGUCUUAAAACUGUUCAACGAAGUCAAUCUGAUCGGUCAAGGUCUCUGGUGGCCGUGGAAGAAUACAGUGGUGGUCCAAAGGCUGCAAGGGACUGCACGGCAUCUACCUCACAACAAUCAAUCAAACAAGACUGUGAAAUCUAUGAUUAAGCAUUCAUCUGAUAAAGCCCUAGUCUUGGACAAAAUGGAGGCUACUUUUGAACACAGACAGAAACUUGUUCAUGAUCCCGACAAGUCUAUCUAUUCUGGACAUCUUCCCACGAUUUAUUGACAUACCCGGCCUGGUGAGUUUACAAAUGCGUAGAAUAAUAUCUAAUGAGGGUUCAUGUAAAGACAUGCCCUGCCAUGCCAAAUUUGCUGUCAUGUUAAUGUUUGUGCCUACAUGUUUGAUUACAUUAGUGUAACUUUGGACAUUACAUAAGUGCUUGGGUUCUGUUUGAAGUGUGCA